ensembl:lncRNA
GCGUGUGGCGUGGCCGGAGACGCGUCUAACCCUGAUCCUGCGUCUGUCACUCGCCCACCGGACACUGUGGAACAGCGAAGGAGAAGACCUCAGCACCUGCCCUCUCAGAGCUUAUCAUUGAGCUGGGAAGACUCGAUCUAUUGUGGAGCAUCGCCAGAAAGUGGGGAGUCUGCGUCUUAAAUACGCCAGGAUGGAUUUAGCGAUUGGCCAGCUCCGGCUUGGUGCCUGGGAUAGAUAAGUGUAUAAUAAAUAUUAAGUUAAAAAUGAAAAAGCAGAAAGCUACUGCCACAGAUCCUGAAAAGAAAGUGCUACAAAUGCUGAAGUGACUUCCAAGAGAGAUGUUCCAGUGGACGGAGCAUGGAUACGGUCCUUGGCACUGUACCAGGUAGACACCAGUGAUGCACAGAUGUCAGCCCUUGCCUGCACGCUGCCGACAUUCUACUGGGGGAGCUAGACAAGCGCCGCUUCCACUGAGAGGACACCUGGUGAGCAGAGGUUACAUUUUCGGAACCUGAGGUUGAAUUUCUGUGGACCCACAUUCUCCGACAGAACAUUUUAGAAUGAUGAAGGGUUCUUUAUCCACACUGUCCAGUAUGGUAGGUGCCAGCCACAUAUGGCUACUGAGCCCUUGAAAUGUAACUAGUUGACUAAAUUUUAAUUUGAAUAGUUCCAUGGGACUAGCAGUGACAGAGAGCACAGCUGGGCGCCAUCCAAAAGGAGCCGCUCAACCAGCAGGUAGAUGAGACCUGCGGAGCAAAGGGGAGAACUUGGGACUGUGGGAGAUGCCAAGCGCAAUAAUGCCAGGGGAGUUAGUGAGUUACUUAUUACAGUAAAUAACAGGUCCCUGCAGCACUGUAUAUACUUAAAACACACUGAUACAAUUUCUCAGUGCUCAAACUGUACAUGCAUGGGGGACUAUGUAAAAGCAUUACGGUACUUCCCGGAGUGAAUGAAAUACUGUAGCCUAAAAACAGGCACAUGCACAUCUGAGAGACACUGCAGCCUCAGUCCCAGACCACCACAAUGAGGCAGCUAUCAAAAUAAAGUGAGCCACACAAAUGCGGGGCUUUCUCAGUACAUACGGCAAAAUUUAUGUUUAUACUAUACAGUAGCCUGGUAACCACGCUGUGCAACAGCAUUGCUAUGUCUAGAAAACAAUGCUCAUACUUUGAUUUUAAAAUAUUUUAUUGUUAAAUGAUAAUCGGCAUCUGACAACACAAGGUUGCCACAAAACUUCAAUUUGUGUAAAACACACACACACACACAAAAACAGUGUCAACAGAUCAUAAUAAAGCAGUAAAAUAAGGUAUGCCUCUAUAAGGAAGGAUUGUAUUUAUUGAUAUGGAAACAUCUCCAGGAUAUAUUAAAUGAAAAAAAGCAAGUUACUGAACCAAAGCCUGAGGAUGGGAAAGAUUGAAGGCAGGAGGAUAAGGGGGCAGAAGGACAGAAAAUGAGAUGGUUGGAUGGCAUCACCGGCUGGAUGAACAUGAGUCGGAGCAAACUCCAGGAGUUGGUGAUGGACAAGGAAGCCCGACAUGCUGCAGUCCGUGGGGUGGCUAAGAGUCGGACACGACUGAGCGACUAAACUGAAC